AUGUGAUGGCCACACCUGGCAGGAGGGGUCGGGACCGGAGGGCGGGCAGAGAGUCUGCACAGCCUUUGGUAAAUCAAAGAAACCGCUCUAAUUCCCAGGCUCUUUACAACUCAGGUAGGGCCCGCACUGGCCUGGAAGAUGACCUCCAGCACGGCUGGGGUUAUGGAGGAAGCCUCCAUAGAAGGCUUCUAGACCUCUGGAGAAGUUAAAUAUUGACAGCUGUUGUGUCUCAACCUGCGAGAAGGAGGGAGAGUGACCAAGGUUCUAAUGAUCCCCUCGGACUAAAUUGAAGUGAAAUGACACCAAACGAUCAACUAAACAUUUUACUUCGAUGCAGAAGCAACUUGAACUUGAAAAGACAACUUGAAAGCAUGGAAAAGCAUUGAUGGUUGCUACAUCCCACAUCACGCCAAUGUUUGAGACAUAAACUCUUUCAGCCCCUUACAACAUCAGCAAGUCAAGAG